rnacentral:rRNA from 1 species
GGAUGAACGCUGGCGGCGUGCCUAAUACAUGCAAGUCGAGCGAACAGAUAAGGAGCUUGCUCCUUUGAAGUUAGCGGCGGACGGGUGAGUAACACGUGGGUAACCUACCUAUAAGACUGGGAUAACUUCGGGAAACCGGAGCUAAUACCGGAUAACAUUUAGAACCGCAUGGUUCUAAAGUGAAAGAUGGUUUUGCUAUCACUUAUAGAUGGACCCGCGCCGUAUUAGCUAGUUGGUAAGGUAACGGCUUACCAAGGCGACGAUACGUAGCCGACCUGAGAGGGUGAUCGGCCACACUGGAACUGAGACACGGUCCAGACUCCUACGGGAGGCAGCAGUAGGGAAUCUUCCGCAAUGGGCGAAAGCCUGACGGAGCAACACCGCGUGAGUGAUGAAGGGUUUCGGCUCGUAAGACUCUGUUAUUAGGGAAGAACAAAUGUGUAAGUAACUGUGCACAUCUUGACGGUACCUAAUCAGAAAGCCACGGCUAACUACGUGCCAGCAGCCGCGGUAAUA